AAACGACGGCACACAAAGAAGCACGAGGCGUUGAUCUCCGGGCGCGAAAGUUCACUAAACGUGUACGAGUCCGGGGACCUGCCAAGAGUGUGAAAGCUCAUCUGGAACAUCAUCCAUGAAGCCUGAAGAUAUUACUGCUGAACGAAUGUGUUGUUUUCUGCACAGGAGCGACAGGAUUUGUCGUUCAAUGUGAGAAACUAUGGUGACAUCUUCAGGAGUAACUACAGCUGCCACCGGCCCAACAUUUACAUGCUGCCUCUCCAUUUGAAGUUGAUUAACUGAUUGCUCUGAACUUUGGAGUAUUAUUUAUAAGUAC